GUCUAUGGCCAUGCUACCCGGAACAUGCCCAAUCCCGUCUGAUCUCGGAAGCUAAGCUGGGUUGGGCUUGGUUAGUACUUGGAUGGGAGACCACCUAGGAAGACCAGGUGUUGCAGGCA
rnacentral:rRNA from 1 species